AGGUGCUCCUGUUUGUGUAGCCAAGGAUGACUUGCCGGCCCCUUCUCCACUCGAGGUCGGCAAGUUUUCUUUGGCUACAUGAUAGCCUCG
rfam:Triticum urartu cultivar G1812 contig71519, whole genome shotgun sequence.